rnacentral:rRNA from 1 species
GAUGAACGCUGGCGGCGUGCCUAAUACAUGCAAGUCGAGCGAACGGACGAGAAGCUUGCUUCUCUGAUGUUAGCGGCGGACGGGUGAGUAACACGUGGAUAACCUACCUAUAAGACUGGGAUAACUUCGGGAAACCGGAGCUAAUACCGGAUAAUAUUUUGAACCGCAUGGUUCAAAAGUGAAAGACGGUCUUGCUGUCACUUAUAGAUGGAUCCGCGCUGCAUUAGCUAGUUGGUAAGGUAACGGCUUACCAAGGCAACGAUGCAUAGCCGACCUGAGAGGGUGAUCGGCCACACGGGAACUGAGACACGGUCAAGACGCCUACGGGAGGCAGCAGUAGGGAAUCUUCCGCAAUGGGCGAAAGCCUGACGGAGCAACGCCGCGUGAGUGAUGAAGGUCUUCGGAGCGUAAAACUCUGUUAUUAGGGAAGAACAUAUGUGUAAGUAACUGUGCACAUCGUGACGGUACCUAAUCAGAAAGCCACGGCUAACUACGUG